rnacentral:misc_RNA from 1 species
GUGGUCCUGGAAAUCCGCGCCGGCACGGGUGGCGAUGAAGCCAGUAUUUUCGCGGGCGACCUGUUCCGGAUGUACAAGUACUAUGUGGAAUCCCGUGGCUGGAAGCUCACCGUGGCCAGCGCGAGCGAAGGGACCAUGGGAGGCUUUAAGGAAAUCCUCUGCGAGGUCGAGGCUCGGGGCGCCUAUGGCGUGCUCAAAUACGAGAGCGGGGUGCAUCGCGUGCAGCGAGUACCGGCCACCGAGACUCAAGGGCGUGUGCAUACCUCGGCCGCCAGCGUGGUGGUAAUGCCCAUGGUGGAUGAGAUGGAUGACAUCAAUAUCCGCGAUGAGGAUAUCCGGGUUGACACCUACCGGGCGGGAGGCGCCGGCGGCCA